GUGCCUGUAGCUCAGUUGGAUAGAGCGCUUGCCUCCGGAGCAAGAGGUCGUGGGUUCGAAUCCCGCCAGGCACGCCA
rnacentral:tRNA from 1 species